AAAUUGAAAAAACAACCGUAGACAGCGGGUGUCGAAAGACUUAAUUUCCCGCCGAGGUACAAUACAUAGAUAUUGAACCCUGUCUGCGUAAUUGGACAGGGUUAUUUAUU
rnacentral:sRNA from 1 species